CUGUUUAGACUUCGUAGUGACCUGCGGAGGAUCAUUAUCGAAUAAACUUGCGCAGGCUGUUGCUGGCCCCCUUCCAAGGGCAAUUGUGCACGCUUGUCAUCUUUAUUUCUCCAACUUGUGCACAUAUUGUAGACCCUGGAGUCUUGUGUUGAUUUGCUUCGAGUUGGGACUGCUGUGCUUUUUUUCAAUAAAGUCAGCUUUCCCUUGCAUUUCUCCAGGUCUAUGUCAUUUUUCACAACCUCUCAUAGUGUUUAGAAUGUUGAAUCAAAUGAAAUAUAUAUACAACUUUCAGCAACGGAUCUCUUGGCUCUCGCAUCGAUGAAGAACGCAGCGAAAUGCGAUAAGUAAUGUGAAUUGCAGAAUUCAGUGAAUCAUCGAAUCUUUGAACGCAUCUUGCGCUCCUUGGUAUUCCGAGGAGCAUGCCUGUUUGAGUGUCAUUCAAGUUCCUCAACCACAUCGAUGAUAACUGGUGUGGCUUGGAUUAUGGGGGUUCUUAUUUUUGCAGGCUUCUGUGGAAGUCUGCUCCCCUGAAAUGCAUUAGUGGUUAUUGCGCGAGCCAACCACAGGCGUGUGUGAUAAAAUAUCCAUGCCCUUUUGGCUUUUAUGCUGUUGAACCGCUUCCAACAAACCCACAUUUUGAUGAAUUUGACCUCAAAUCAGGUAGGACUACCCGCUGAACUUAAGCAUAUCA
rnacentral:rRNA from 1 species